AGUGAACGCUGGCGGUAGGCCUAACACAUGCAAGUCGAACGGCAGCACAGUAAGAGCUUGCUCUUACGGGUGGCGAGUGGCGGACGGGUGAGGAAUACAUCGGAAUCUACUUUUUCGUGGGGGAUAACGUAGGUAAACUUACGCUACUACCGCAUACGACCUACGGGUGAAAGCAGGGGAUCUUCGGACCUUGCGCGAUUGAAUGAGCCGAUGUCGGAUUAGCUAGUUGGCGGGGUAAAGGCCCACCAAGGCGACGAUCCGUAGCUGGUCUGAGAGGAUGAUCAGCCACACUGGAACUGGGACACGGGCCAGACUCCUACGGGAGGCAGCAGUGGGGAAUAUUGGACAAUGGGCGCAAGCCUGAUCCAGCCAUACCGCGUGGGUGAAGAAGGCCUUCGGGUUGUAAAGCCCUUUUGUUGGGAAAGAAAAGCAGCAGGUUAAUACCCCGCUGUUCUGACGGUACCCAAAGAAUAAGCACCGGCUAACUUCGUG
rnacentral:rRNA from 1 species